GGGGCUGAAUGGAUUUGACAGCAAGUAUUAUUUUAUAAUAAGCAUAUCGAGUAUUGUAUUUUAACUCGUUAAUAAAUAAAAUUCACUUUUUAAUUGGCGAUAAUAAUUACGCUUUAGCGGCCUAAUUUAUAUAAUUAGCUACGCUUUUGUCUCUUUUAAAGGAUCCUCCUGAUUCCUUUAAAAAAUGAGGCAUAAUUAACUUCAGGAUAGUUUAUUUAUCUCUUCUGUAAAUAAAUGAAAUUUAUGAAGAUAAGGAUAUGGAUUGGUUGCUUCUCUCCUACCAUUUCUCGAAAAAUAAAAGAAGAUAAAUAUGUAGAAAAUUAUUUAAUUGCUUGUUUGGACGUGGGUUCGAAACCCACCAGCUCCACUA
rnacentral:tmRNA from 1 species